rnacentral:piRNA from 1 species
UAAAGUUGCAAGCCAUGGAAGCACCUUGAG